UUAAACUGAAGCUUUUUUAUGCUUAGCCUUAGCUUGACCUGUCUGCAUCUGACCAUCACGGCCAGCAGCUUGGCGUCAUGGUCACAUUCUGCCUCCUCUUCACUGUCCCCACAGCCCACUACGAGGAUGUCAUCUGCUAUGGGUUCCACGCCACUGAGUCCCAUCAACAGCUCAUGCUGUUUCCGCUGAUACACCUCUGGAGCCAUCAAACGGAAGCUUCAACCACCUCUUUCUGCCCCAGGGUGUCCAAAAGGUGGUCAUGUAGCUGCUGGGCUCGUCGAGCUUGCACUGCAGGAAGGCAUCUCUGGCAUCAACGAGCGUGAAGACUCUGGCCUUUGGGAGCUUGUAAAGAUCAUCCUCCAACGUGGGCAUAUUAUAAUGUGAAUGUCGCAGAGCCCGGUUGAAGUGUUUAGGAUCAAUGCAUAUCUGUAACUUGUCUGGUUUCUUGAUGGUAACCAUAUUACUUAUUCAGUCUGUAGGCUCGGUGACGGAUAGGAUGUGGCCAUCUUCUUCGUAUUUGUAAAGCUGAGCCUUCGUAUCUACUUUCAUGGCCACUGGUACAUUGUGGGGUGCACACUGGACAGGCUGGAUUGCUACGUCCUACUCAAAGUGGACUUCCCCGGGAACUGACUCGACCGGUGCGUUGAAGACAUCAUGGUACUUGCUUAGGAGUGUCUCCUUGCUCAGGGGCCCAGUCUGGACUUUGUCUAUAAUGUUAAGAUCAGCUGGAAUGGUGAAGUUAAUAAGCCGAAGGCGCUGUAGAACCUGACAGUAUCCCAGUUCGUGCUCCAAUCCCCGCUGUGCUUCAUAACGGCGGGAGGGGAAAUGUUCGCUGCCAUGUCUAACCAGUGCUACCAACACUGCAGCUAACUAGCAAACUCACUCUAGCUAAGGCCAAUUCCGGCGAAAUUUUACUCAAAUAAGCAUUUGUUUGGUAAACCAGAACAGGUGACUCUAAUUUGCGGAAAGCAUGGUUAGUUAUCCGACUCUGACACCAUGUUUGAAUGUUAAAUGGCGAGACAGAGAUAUUGAUGCGAGUAACCAGUCUGAUUCAGUACAUCACAACACAUCCGGGUAUCUCAAGCACACCGGUAAAACACACGAGUUGCAGUAAUGAACAUUUACCAACAGUUGUUAUCACUCUGCCAUCUUACACCCAUAACAGUCUGGUUAUUAAAUGGGUACAUAGUUCAAUGGUAAUAUCCUCUAAAACUAUCUGGUGACAAACUUUGCUGCCCUGUUUCCAGUUGUCCACAUGGCCGGGAGAACCAAUUCAAGUAAGAAAGUAAGUACAUAGAUUUUGAAAAUGUAAAAAAUUAAUCUAUGUAUUAUUAGCUAACUAGCUACAGUGCAGGCUAACUCAAAUGAGUCGUUAAAUGAGUUAUCUAGUUGGCUAGCUAGCUAUCUAGGCAACUUCACAUUCUGUAUUGAUAGAUAGCUAAGUGAAUGAAAUAUCACUAUCUACCUAGCUUCAUAUUAGCUAUCUUGAUGUAUUUAUCACUGUUAAAAACAAACUCCAAAUGUAGCUAGCUAACAGCCAUGGAGGGUUAAAGGAUAGCAGCCCCAACUGUCAGUGAGAGAGGAGGCUAUUCUGGAUAGGGCAGGUACUUUUGUGUAGUUCCUGUCCCUAGAAUUGAGGACGGAGAUAAUAGUAACAUAAUAUUCAGUGUGGUGUAAUUUGACUAUAAUGAAGUGUGUUUCUUGUGAGGUUUUCUGUCCUCAGAAAAAGAGCGCUAUGAAAGCCAGUCUACAUAGGAAGAGGUCCCAAUGAAGAGCAGUGGUUCUCAGUCCUGGGCACUCAAAGAGGGGCACAUUUUUGUUUUUGCCUUCACACUGCAUAGCUGAUUCAAAUGAUCAACUCAUCAUCAAGCUUCAAGUGAUACCUUGUAACUGGUGAUUCCUUCAAAACGAUUGCCAACAGUUAACGUGUAGGGCACUGCAAGGUUGGGUGACCAGGGUCAUCUGGGACUGCCUCCUGGAGGAAUUCAUGUGUGUGAAGGCUACAUGUGUCCUGCGUAACUUCAUGAGGAUGGACACGAGGACCAGGAGGGGAUCUGCAGCUACCGCUGUGUGCCAGAGGAGGAGUCUGCUGCUCUGCAGGAUGUUUCAAGGAUGGGGUCCAACAACACAGCAAGAGAGGCAAUUCUUGUGCAGGAGAUCUUCACCUCCUACUUCUUCAAAGGGGGCGCUGUUCCCUGGCAACACCGUAGACUACACUAUGCACAACCAAAGGCUCUUUUAAGAGCCAUUCACAUUGCAAUAAGAGUAUUCUUCCAUUUACUUAGCUAUGUCAACUGCAGUUAUUCCAUUCACAGUUUCUCUCCCUUUGAUUUGUACUUCUCAGCUGAGGGUGCUGUUUAGGUAAGGUUGUGAUGUCUGUGCAAAAACAAAACAGGCUAUUUUAAAUCACCCAUGUUGAAAAAAUGUAGAACAAUUAGACACCCUAUGACCCACACCUACACACUCAUGUAUCAAUCUGAUUGAUGGAUUGUGUUGUGCAGUAAGCAGGCUCAGGUGUAUAACUGUGAAUCCUUCCACCUUCAAAGAAUAGGCAAGAGGGGCAUCCAUGGAGAAUAGUAAGACACUUCGUUAUUUCUAUAACUACGCUAUAUUGUUUGUCCUUGUGUGUCCGUUCAUGUUUUUCAGCAUGAAGUACUCUGCAGCCACUUAGUGUGGUGUGGACACCUGGUGAGGCCACACACAGAUUCCUGUUGAACACUGUCGCUUUAACUACCUUAUUUUCUCAAUAACAGUCUCUCUCCUUCACUUCAUCCCUCUCUCCCCUUCUCCCUAAAUCCUCUAGGUUAUAUCAGCUGUGUCGGUGAACCCCUCCUGCAUCUGAACUGGCUACAUAGAGGGCACAGCGUGAUCAGAGAUAUGUUUUGAUGUGACCCCCAGUCCCAUCAUCACCAGCUCGCCUGCUUUUAAGAUAAACUUUGUGCCGACGUGAGACACUAUUAUGUAAUUGUGAUGAACUGAGAGAAUAUGUAGCACUGUGAUUCAUUAAUCAUGUGCUGCCUUCCCUGCUCCUAUGUGCUUACCUCUUUCCCUUUCUGUCUUUAACACCUCUCCCGCCACCUCCAAUUUCUUCCUCUGUUUUUAUAAUGCACAACAGAUGUGCAUUGAAGUACAGAAUGAAACUUGUAUUCGGAUAAUCAUCUUUUCAAUAAAGCGUUUCACAUUCUCUACUGGUUGAAAUUAAGUCUAAU